CACUCUACUAUUUUUUAAUUCGUUGAUCACGAGUAAUCCAAUUUUAAGUUUCUUUGAAGUCUCAUUCAGAGUCUUUUAAAUUACUCUAGCUUGGAAGUCUAAGUUUGGUGAUCAUAUCCGGUGUGGUUCCAAAGACUGUUAUUCGAGUAAGUAAAUCUGCUAAUUUAGGAUAUAUAUUGAUAAAUAAAGGCCUGAAUUUCUUAUGUGUUUGCCUCUCUCAAACCCUACUUCAUCAUCCUCUUCCGAAAUUCGAGAUUCUGAAACAGAAAUUCCGUGUUUCAAACCCUACUUCAUUAUAACGCCCUAUGUGUGUUUAGUUUCUCCUUCUACGUGUUUCUCUAAUUCUACCAAUCUGUUUCGAAUCUCUUUAUUAAUAAAUCGAAAGUCUGGAAUUCGAAUUGGUAUACUAUCUAGUUGAUUAUGAUUUUGUGUAACUCGGUUUCAAAGGUUCGUGAAGAUUUGGAGUUUCUAAUGCCACGGAGAAGAAGCUGUACAGAGAGAACUUGAUUUACCAGCUCGAGGUGAUUUUUAUUGUGCUCGAGGAUUGCUUGGGCAGGGAGAAGAUCAAAUUGAAAGAGAUGCACAUGUUAAGAAGAUACUGUUGCUUCCAUAGUUUUGAGAGUGUGCAGCUAGAAGAGGUGAGACUGGUGAUGGUGGAUAAGCUGGUGGUGAUUUGCAGAACAAAGAUGGUGUUGUAGCUGCUGUUGAAGUAAUUAGGUAUCAAUAAGAAGUUCUGUGGUUGUUGCUUUUGAUAAUUUAAUGGUUUGUUUCCAGGGAUUGUAACUUACUGAUGAUAUCAAAGGUAUGCCAAUGCCCAAUAAAUAGUGAGUUUUUGCUUUUUACUAUGCAAGCAGAAUUAGCCAAUUAGCAAAACAUUUUUGAAUGCAAGCCUAUGGAGUGAAUUUAACGAGAUGGCGAUGGAGUUAUUAUUUACGAUAUGCUAAGUCUGGAUUGCAGUGGAGAUGCUGGAGGAGUGUUUUGAUUCAUUAUGAAUUGGAUACUCAUUAUGUCAAUAAGGUUGUCAUUUAUUCAGUUUUUUGUUGGCAGUGUUUUUUUUUGUCUUGCAUCAUUAUCUUUAUAAUAUACCGGUUUAUAUAGUAUACAUGCUGUUGGGAAAUCGAUAUAUCCCUUAGACAGUAAAAACUCGGUUUAUAUACAUUUAAUUGACAUUCAAACAAUGAAACUCAGUUUGAUUUGUCCUUUUUGGUGAAUUACUUGCAGGCUUACAUGGCUUGCAUUAUGCAAGAUCAUUGGUAAGUCUCUAUUUACAGGAUAUCCAAUUACUGUUAUGUUUUGCAUCGAAUUUCAAAGCAUAUUGAUCACAUCUUAAUUCUGAUAAUAUUGCUUUUAGAACUGAGCAAUGUUGAUCUAGCGACUCAUAUAGUCUCACUCUAUGAAUUUUUUCUGGAUAUGAGUUUCUUUUGAGUGAUUAAACUGGAAAAUUAUCAAAAUUGUAGCAUCCAUAUCACAUUAACAUUGUUAAGAAAAAAAAUGUGAAUGUAGUGUGUACCUUCAGGGCAUGUUAAUGAUUUCAAUUGCAGAGAAACAAUAACAGAGGCAACUGCGAAGAAAGGUAACUUUAAUAUGCCCAGUAAUAUUUGCUCGAGCUUGGGUUCUUUAACUCCUCCAGUCACAGAUAUACAGUUACCUCUUGAAAUUGGGCUGAAGUUUUAUUCGCAUUUCCAUUAUAUAUUUCAGUAGUUAAUAAUUUUAUUCGCACUUACACCAUUCUCACUGGAACCAAGUACCUGACUGGAGAUUAACUUUGGAGAUACCACAUCGGCAUUACUUUGAUGUGUAUCUUGAGCAGUAUUCUGAUAGCUUCUAUUUUUUAGUUCAACAUUACAUUGUUCAUGCUCAUGAAAUGAAAAUGUGAAGAAAUGUGAGACCUACUUCUAUGAUCAGGAACUAUCUUAAUUGGGAUAUUUUUGCAGUAUUGCAACUAUCUGUAUUUUAAGGAUUCUUCUUUGUAGAAAAUGCUCACGGAUGGUAUGGCAGAAGCGUUGUGUUUGAAAUAAAAUGAAGUGGCAAGCUCCAAAUACAUGUUCAGAUCCUUCAGAGACAAAAAAAAUGCAAGGCUUGAGAGUAGUAAUCAUUUUCAAGGUACAUGACAUGCAGAAAAUGACUGUAAAAAUGAUUAUUGAUUAUCAAGAGUAGUCAAUUAAGGAUGCUCCCUUCCUUUUAACAUUAUUCUUUUGUCCUGUGCAUGUAUUGACUGCACUAGAUGAUAAACUUGGCAUAGAAUUCUUAAUUUUGUGAGUUAUUGUUGCUGGGCACACAAUCCGUGAUCCAUAUUAUCAUUGCAACUGUAUGAGUGAAUUCAUGUGUCUA